CUCCGAGUUCCCCCCCCCAUCAGUGAUGGCGGUGCGGGUCCGAGUCCCGCCCGGCGCCGCCCCGGAGCCGCUCCCGGUUCAGCUCCUGCCCUGCCGCGUCCAGCACGACGGGCCCGCGCCCGUGGCCGCCUUCCUGCGGGCCCGGCCCGGCCCCGGCGGCGGUGAGGGCCCGGGGGGGGCGGGGGCGGCUCAGUUUUGGGGAUCCUGAGGGGGGAUCCUGCUGCAUCCGGGGGAGCGGCGUUGGGUUUGGGGGCGUUGCUGGGGUGGGGGAGCUCAGGGAGGGGUCGGGGGUCUCUGGAAAGUUUGGGAGGUCCCGGGUGGGUUUGGGGGUGCCGGGGGGAGGUUUGGGGGUGUCCCGGGCCCGUUUUGGGGGUCCUGGGUGGGUUUGGGUGUCCCGGGUGGGUUUGGGGGUGCCGGGCGGAGGUUUGGGGGGUCCCACCCCAUCUGGCUCUGCUCCCCCCCCCCAGAGCUCUGGGCCUCGUUCCGGGGGCGCCGCUUGGGGGGCCGGGAGCUGCCGCUGCCCCCCGGCUACUCGGGGGUCGUGCUGCGGGGCGGGGAGCCCGGAGACCCCCAGGUGAGGCAGAGACCCCCCCCCAAACCCCUCUGUGGGACAGAGACCCCCCCCUUUUCCCCAUCCCCGGGGGGGUUCCCGGCCCCCUCUGCCCCCUGACCUUUGCCCUUUGCCCCCAGGCCGGGUGGGCGACGCUGACCGGGACCUUCGGGGCCAUCACGGACUGGGGGGGCGACGCCGCCCCCGCCCCCGGCCGGGGCCUGGCCCGGGCCCUGCAGUGGGGACCCCUCGCCCAGGCCAUCCACGCCCCCGUGACUGACAGCGACGAGGAGGCGGAGCCAUGACCGGCCACGCCCAUCCGAGCCUCACCCAUAGUGGGUGGGGCCUGUACAGGCCACGCCCCUCCCAGCACCAUCAACAGAACACGCGGGUUGAGGCCACGCCCACAACUGGAGCCACGCCCAGAAUGAGCAGAGCAAAGCCACACCCAUCUCAUUAACAUACCUGACCACACCCAGUGGGCGGGGCUUAUUCAGACCAGAGUGCCUGAAGCCCCUCCCAAUAUUGCGUGGAGCCUGUGGAAGCCCCACCCACUUUAUUAAAAAUUAAAAAAAAUGUUCACAGGAGGCUCCACCCACAAAUGCAGCCACUCCCACUGUGGGUGGAGCCUCCCAGAGCCACACCCACACGCGACCACGCCCACAGUGGGUGUGGCCUGGCAGCACCCCACCCCUUUCUCUGCCAAUAAAGGAUCUGCGGCGCCAGGCGUGGGCGGGGCC
rnacentral:lncRNA from 1 species